GACGAACGCUGGCGGCGUGCCUAAUACAUGCAAGUCGAACGCAGUGGGGACGGGUGAGUAACACGUGGGUAACCUCCCAUCAGAGGGGAUAACACUUGGAAACAGGUGCUAAACCGAUACUGAUGGAUGGACCCGCGGUGCAUUAGCUAGUUGGUGAGGUAACGGCGCACCAAGGCCAAGAUGCAUAGCCGACCUGAGAGGGUGAUCGGCCACACUGGGACGUAGAGCCGGCCCUGACUCCGUCGGGAGGAAGCAGUAGGGAAGCGUCGGCAAUGGACGAAAGUCUGACCGAGCAACGCCGCGUGAGUGAAGAAGGUUUUCGGAUCGUAAAACUCUGUUGUUAGAGAAGCGGUAUCUAACCAGAAAGCCACGGCUAACUACGUGCCAGCAGCCGCGGUAAGUC
rnacentral:rRNA from 1 species